rnacentral:rRNA from 1 species
UACGGGGGGAGCAAGCGUUGUUCGGAUUUACUGGGCGUAAAGGGCGCGUAGGCGGCCACCGCAAGUCGACUGUGAAAUCUCCGGGCUUAACCCGGAAAGGUCAGCCGAUACUGCGGGGCUAGAGUGCAGAAGGGGCAACUGGAAUUCUCGGUGUAGCGGUGAAAUGCGUAGAUAUCUGGAGGAAUACCGGUGGCGAAGGCGGCAUCCUGGACCGGCAUUGACGCUGAUGAGCGAAAGCUAGGGGAGCAAACGGG